rnacentral:snRNA from 1 species
GUACUAGCUUCGGUAGCACGUGUACUGAAAUUAUAAUGAUGCAGAGAUAUUACCGUGGCCUCUGCCCAAGGUUGAUUUGCGAAUCUGUGAAGAGUUCCAUAUUUUU